AGAACGAACGCUGGCGGCAUGCCUAAUACAUGCAAGUCGAACGAACUCUUCGGAGUUAGUGGCGCACGGGUGCGUAACGCGUGGGAAUCUGCCCCUUGGUUCGGAAUAACAGUUGGAAACGACUGCUAAUACCGGAUGAUGACGAAAGUCCAAAGAUUUAUCGCCAAGGGAUGAGCCCGCGUAGGAUUAGCUAGUUGGUGAGGUAAAGGCUCACCAAGGCAACGAUCCUUAGCUGGUCUGAGAGGAUGAUCAGCCACACUGGGACUGAGACACGGCCCAGACUCCUACGGGAGGCAGCAGUAGGGAAUAUUGGACAAUGGGCGAAAGCCUGAUCCAGCAAUGCCGCGUGAGUGAUGAAGGCCUUAGGUUGUAAAGCUCUUUUACCCGAGAUGAUAAUGACAGUAUCGGAGAAUAAGCCCCGGCUAACUCCGUGCCAGCAGUCGC
rnacentral:rRNA from 1 species